CUACGGGUGGCUACAGUGGGGAAUAUUGGACAAUGGGCGAAAGCCUGAUCCAGCCAUGCCGCGUGUGUGAAGAAGGCCUUCGGGUUGUAAAGCACUUUCAGUGGGGAAGAAAGCCUUGGGGCUAAUACCCUCGAGGAAGGACAUCACCCACAGAAGAAGCACCGGCUAACUCCGUGCCAGCAGCCGCGGUAAUACGGAGGGUGCGAGCGUUAAUCGGAAUUACUGGGCGUAAAGCGCGCGUAGGCGGUCUGAUAAGCCGGUUGUGAAAGCCCCGGGCUCAACCUGGGAACGGCAUCCGGAACUGUCAGGCUAGAGUGCAGGAGAGGAAGGUAGAAUUCCCGGUGUAGCGGUGAAAUGCGUAGAGAUCGGGAGGAAUACCAGUGGCGAAGGCGGCCUUCUGGACUGACACUGACGCUGAGGUGCGAAAGCGUGGGUAGCAAACAGGAUUAGAUACCCCGGUAGUC
rnacentral:rRNA from 1 species